rnacentral:sRNA from 1 species
GUUGGGUAUGGUGGCGCAUGUCUGUGAUCCUAGUGACUUGGGAGGCAGAGACAGGAGGAUCACAAGUUUUAGGCCAGCCUCAGGUACUUAGAGAGGCCUUAAGCAACUCAGUGAGACCCUGUCUCGA